GAUGAACGCUGGCGGCGUGCCUAACACAUGCAAGUCGAGCGAUUCUCUUCGGAGAAGAGCGGCGGACGGGUGAGUAACGCGUGGGUAACCUGCCUCAUACACAUGGAUAACAUACCGAAAGGUAUGCUAAUACAGGAUAACAUAAGAGAUUCGCAUGUUUCUCUUAUCAAAGCUCCGGCGGUAUGAGAUGGACCCGCGUCUGAUUAGCUAGUUGGUAAGGUAAUGGCUUACCAAGGCGACGAUCAGUAGCCGACCUGAGAGGGUGAUCGGCCACAUUGGAACUGAGACACGGUCCAA
rnacentral:rRNA from 1 species